UACGAAGGGGGCUAGCGUUGUUCGGAAUUACUGGGCGUAAAGCGUGCGCAGGCGGCCUUCCAAGUCAGGGGUGAAAGCCCAGAGCUCAACUCUGGAAUUGCCUUUGAGACUGUGAGGCUUGAGUACGGGAGAGGUGAGUGGAAUUCCCAGUGUAGGGGUGAAAUUCGUAGAUAUUGGGAAGAACACCGGUGGCGAAGGCGGCUCACUGGCCCGAAACUGACGCUCAUGCACGACAGCGUGGGGAUCAAACAGG
rnacentral:rRNA from 1 species